rnacentral:sRNA from 2 species
CGUCAAGUCACUUGGGGAGUAGUCGCCGCGCUUGCGCGGUCCCAUCCAUCGCAAAGAUGGCGCGUCAACAUACUUGGCCGAGAGGCCAUGGCGCAGGCAGACGGGGUCAUCCGUCUGGACGAGACCAAUGACGGCAGCUUUUCGUCCGGGCCGGGCGGGGAGGAAUGUCGUCGUUGUCUCAGUUCCCGUCC